rnacentral:rRNA from 1 species
AGAGCUUGCUCUCUGGGUGGCGAGUGGCGGACGGGUGAGGAAUACAUCGGAAUCUACUUUUUCGUGGGGGAUAACGUAGGGAAACUUACGCUAAUACCGCAUACGACCUACGGGUGAAAGCAGGGGAUCUUCGGACCUUGCGCGAUUGAAUGAGCCGAUGUCGGAUUAGCUAGUUGGCGGGGUAAAGGCCCACCAAGGCGACGAUCCGUAGCUGGUCUGAGAGGAUGAUCAGCCACACUGGAACUGAGACACGGUCCAGACUCCUACGGGAGGCAGCAGUGGGGAAUAUUGGACAAUGGGCGCAAGCCUGAUCCAGCCAUACCGCGUGGGUGAAGAAGGCCUUCGGGUUGUAAAGCCCUUUUGUUGGGAAAGAAAUCCAGCUGGCUAAUACCCGGCUGGGAUGACGGUACCCAAAGAAUAAGCACCGGCUAACUUCGUGCCAGCAGCCGCGGUAAUACGAAGGGUGCAAGCGUUACUCGGAAUUACUGGGCGUAAAGCGUGCGUAGGUGGUCGUUUAAGUCCGUUGUGAAAGCCCUGGGCUCAACCUGGGAACUGCAGUGGAUACUGGACGACUAGAGUGUGGUAGAGGGUAGCGGAAUUCCUGGUGUAGCAGUGAAAUGCGUAGAGAUCAGGAGGAACAUCCAUGGCGAAGGCAGCUAUCUGGACCAACACUGACACUGAGGCACGAAAGCGUGGGGAGCAAACAGGAUUAGAUAACCUGGUAGUCCACGCCCUAAACGAUGCGAACUGGAUGUUGGGUGCAAUUUGGCACGCAGUAUCGAAGCUA